rnacentral:rRNA from 1 species
AUUGAACGCUGGCGGCAGGCCUAACACAUGCAAGUCGGGCGAGCGGAGGACGGGUGUGUAAUGUAUGGGGAUCUGCGUGAUGGGGGGGGAAAACUAGUGGAAACGGUAGCUAACACCGCAUACCAUAAUAAGACCCCAUAGGGGAUUAGCUUGUAGGUGAGGUAACGGCUCACCUAGGCGACGAUCCCUAGCUGGGCUGAGAGGAUGAUCAGCCACACUGGGACUGAGACACGGCCCAGACUCCUACGGGAGGCAGCAGUGGGGAAUAUUGCACAAUGGGCGCAAGCCUGAUGCAGCCAUGCCGCGUGUAUGAAGAAGGCCUUCGGGUUGUAAAGUACUUUCAGUCGGGAGGCGUUACCGACAGAAGAAGCACCGGCUAACUCCGUGCCAGCAGCCGCGGUAAUUC